GUGCCUGUAACUCAGCCCGGAUAGAGUACUUGGCUACGAACCAAGGUGUCGCAGGUUCAAAUCCUGCCAGGCACG
rnacentral:tRNA from 1 species